rnacentral:lncRNA from 10 species
CUUGGCCUUCUAAGGGAAAGAUAGGUAAAUGAAAAGACUGCUAAAUCCAAGGUCAGACAGCAUAUAGAAGGCUUUAUAAAAGAACAGGAAAACUCAGAACACUAAAUAAGAGAGUGCUUUCUUGGACUCUGCAGUUGGCCUCAAUCAUCGGAUCUGGAAUAUUACUUUUUACGAUUUUGGAAGCCGAUACACACCUGGAACUUUAUGAAUCCAGAAAGAGCCAACGUUUGAAUGAUUACUGCAAUCUCACAUCUAUUAAAUCCUGAUACCUGCAACCAAGAGAUGAGUAGGAGAUGUGGAUCCUAAGAGGUGACCUGUAACAUACUGCCCCUCAAACCACAUCUUUGGAUUUCAAUAGAAAGAACAGAGAGAGGCCGGUCGCGGUGGCUCAUGCCUGUAAUCCCAGCACUUUGGGAGGCCGAGGCGGGCGGAUCACGAGGUCAAGAGAUCGAGACCAUCCUGGCUAACACAGUGAAACCCCAUCUCUACUAAAAAAAAAAUACAAAAAAAAAAAAAAAAGAACAGAGAGAAUUAAACCAGCUAGGGCCACACGCGGUGGCUCAUGUCUAUAAUCCCAGCACUUUGGGAGGCCAAGGUGGGCAGAUCACAAGGUCAGGAGUUCGAGACCAGCCUGGCCAAUAUGGUGAAACCCCAUCUCUACUAAAAAUAGAAAAAUUAGCUGGGCAUGGCGGUGGGCACCUGUAGUCCCACCUACUCAGGAGGCUGAGGCAGAAGAAUCGCUUGAACUGGGGAGGCGGAGGCUGCAGUGAGCCGAGAUCGCGCCACUGCACUCCAGCCUCGGCGACAGAGCGAGACUCUGUCUCAAAACAAAACAAAAGAAAAAACAGCUAAACUAUGGCAAAGAGGCAUUAAUGAAUUUAUUGAUAGCAAACAAAGAAGUAAAGAUAAGAGGUGAAUUCAGCAGACUCCAGAAAGUCAACUUUUGGUUUGGGCAGGAAGGAGUGAACCAGUAAGAAACAGAGCUUGAGGUCCUCCGUGAUUACAGUCCCAAGAAGAAACUUCCACAAGUCUAGAAUACUCUAGAGCUCUCACUGGCAUGAAACGAACUGCUAAGAUUACAGUCCAUAAUUUGUGAUCCUUGCUUUAAGAAUUCUGGGAUCCAGGGCAGGUGCGGUGGCUCAUGCCUGUAAUCCCCAGCACUUUGGGAGGCCAAGACGGGUGGAUUACCUGAGGUCAGGAGUUCAGGACCAGACUGGCCAACGUGGUGAAACCCCAUCUCUACUAAAAAAAAAUACAAAAAAUUAGCCGGGCGUGGUGGUGGGUGCCUGUAAUCCCAGCUACUCGAUAGGCUGAGACAGAAUUGCUUGAACCUGGGAGGUGGAGGUUGCAAUGAGCUUAGAUCACAUCAUUGCACUCCAACCUGGGCAAUAAGAGUGAAACUCUGUCUCAAAAAAAAAAAAAAAAAAAAAAAGAAUUCUGGGAUCCAAUCAGGCACAUUGGCUCACGCCUGUAAUCCAAGCACUUUGGGAGGCCAAGGUGGGAGGAUCACAUUAGGUCAGGAGUUUGAGACCAGCCUGGCCAACAUGGCAAAACCCCAUCUCUACGAAAAAUACAAAAUUAGCCGGGCAUGGUGGCAUGUGCUUGUAAUCCCAGCUACUCGAGAGGCUGAGGCAGGAGAAUCACCUGGGUCCAGAAGGCGGAGGUUGCAGUGAGCCGAGAUCAUGCCACUCCACUCCAGCCUGGGCGACACAGCGAGCCUCUGUCUCAAAAAAAAAAAAAGAAUUCUGGGAUCCAUUUGUCAUCCUUUCCAGAAGACUUCCUCCAGUACUAAGAAAGUCCACAAGCCCCUUGACCAGUUUCACUGACGUCAAGAAUCAGAUCCUGCUAGGGUAGAAAAGGUACGGAAUGAGCUCAGACUGUGGCAAGGUCAUGAGGGUUGUGAUGAAACAAGAAUGAAACAACCUCUCCCCACAACAUAUUCUAGAAAGCAGAGAUGUCAGAAUAAAGGAAUCCUCCAGAGGCCUGGCGGCUGAGUGGAGGCAUUUUAUUUAAAAGCUUCAAACUACCCACACCUUUUGAUUACCAUCUGGCUUUUUCUAUUUUUCUUUUGUUUUCUUUUUUUUUUUUUUCCUGGACAGAAUUGACUGGGGUCUGACUUUUUCUUAAAUGUAAAUUCCAAUAUAAUUUUACAGCUGGUAUUUCCAGAAUUAGAUCCAGAAAUCAACACUAGCACUACUCUCUGAAAGUGUUUCAGAAUGCAACUCUUAACUGCUGAAGAGAAUCAAGUAGUAACCUGGAGCAGGCCAAAUGAGUUACAGACAUUACAGAGAAAGAUCGAUCACUUUGGCAGAGCCUCUCUGUGAGCUUUAGCUAGUUUUCCUAACGCCAGCUGGUAUGCUACGUUAGCUACCCAAGGCAGGGGGACUAUGGUAUCACAGUGACCACAGAACUAAGCUUUUCCAACUCUCCUGGGGCACCUGCACAAGUGCUAGCAUUUCCCAGACUACCUCUAAUUAAGGAACAAACCUUUUUCCCUACUGGAAAAUUCAAAAGUGCUUUCAUCUCUGCUCCCUGCCCCCGACCAGAAGAGGUUUUAUUAGAGUUCUGAUGUCACACUCUCUGCUUUCCUGGGUGGCAUCUGAAAAAGGACCACCUGUGCCUUCAGGGUAGAUUUGUGCCAGUGAGAAAACCUCAGCUUCAGGAAUUCAUGACCAGCCUGGUCAACCAUGGUGAAACCCCGUCUCUACUAAAAAUACAAAAAUUAGCUGGGCAUGGUGGCACACACCUGUAAUCCCAGCUACUCAGGAGGCUGAGGCAAGAGAAUCGCUUGAACUCGGGAGGUGGAGGGUGCAGUGAGCUGAGAUGGCACCACUGCACUCCAGCCAGGGUCACAGGGCGAGACUCCGUCUCAAAAUAAAUAAAUUAAAUAAAUAAAUAAAUAAAUAAAACAAACAAAAAAAAU